rnacentral:rRNA from 2 species
GGCUCAGGACGAACGCUGGCGGCGUGCCUAAUACAUGCAAGUCGAGCGGACUUAAAAAGCUUGCUUUUUAAGUUAGCGGCGGACGGGUGAGUAACACGUGGGCAACCUGCCUGUAAGACUGGGAUAACUUCGGGAAACCGGAGCUAAUACCGGAUAAUCCUUUCCUACUCAUGUAGGAAAGCUGAAAGACGGUUUACGCUGUCACUUACAGAUGGGCCCGCGGCGCAUUAGCUAGUUGGUGAGGUAACGGCUCACCAAGGCGACGAUGCGUAGCCGACCUGAGAGGGUGAUCGGCCACACUGGGACUGAGACACGGCCCAGACUCCUACGGGAGGCAGCAGUAGGGAAUCUUCCGCAAUGGACGAAAGUCUGACGGAGCAACGCCGCGUGAGUGAUGAAGGUUUUCGGAUCGUAAAACUCUGUUGUUAGGGAAGAACAAGUACGAGAGUAACUGCUCGUACCUUGACGGUACCUAACCAGAAAGCCACGGCUAACUACGUGCCAGCAGCCGCGGUAAUACGUAGGUGGCAAGCGUUGUCCGGAAUUAUUGGGCGUAAAGCGCGCGCAGGCGGUCCUUUAAGUCUGAUGUGAAAGCCCACGGCUCAACCGUGGAGGGUCAUUGGAAACUGGGGGACUUGAGUGCAGAAGAGAAGAGUGGAAUUCCACGUGUAGCGGUGAAAUGCGUAGAGAUGUGGAGGAACACCAGUGGCGAAGGCGACUCUUUGGUCUGUAACUGACGCUGAGGCGCGAA